rnacentral:rRNA from 1 species
UACGAAGGGGGCUAGCGUUGCUCGGAAUUACUGGGCGUAAAGGGCGCGUAGGCGGCACUGUUAGUCAGGCGUGAAAGUCCUGGGCUCAACCUGGGAACUGCGCUUGAUACGGCAGAGCUAGAGGAUGGAAGAGGGUCGCGGAAUUCCCAGUGUAGAGGUGAAAUUCGUAGAUAUUGGGAAGAACACCAGUGGCGAAGGCGGCUCACUGGCCCGUAACUGACGCUGAGGUGCGAAAGCGUGGGGAGCAAACAGG